rnacentral:rRNA from 1 species
UACGUAGGGACCAAGCGUUGUUCGGAUUUACUGGGCGUAAAGGGCGCGUAGGCGGCAAUUCAAGUCAGCUGUGAAAUCUCCGGGCUUAACUCGGAACGGUCAGCUGAUACUGCUUUGCUAGGGUGCAGAAGGGGCAAUCGGAAUUCUUGGUGUAGCGGUGAAAUGCGUAGAUAUCAAGAGGAACACCUGAGGUGAAGACGGGUUGCUGGGCUGACACUGACGCUGAGGCGCGAAAGCUAGGGUAGCAAACGGG